CGGGGAAUUUUGGACAAUGGGCGCAAGCCUGAUCCAGCAAUGCCGCGUGAGUGAAGAAGGCCUUCGGGUUGUAAAGCUCUUUUGUCAGGGAAGAAACGGGUCUUUCUAAUACAGAGGCCUAAUGACGGUACCUGAAGAAUAAGCACCGGCUAACUACGUGCCAGCAGCCGCGGUAAUACGUAGGGUGCAAGCGUUAAUCGGAAUUACUGGGCGUAAAGCGUGCGCAGGCGGUUUGUAAGUCUGUUGUGAAAUCCCCGGGCUCAACCUGGGAAUGGCAAUGGAGACUGCAAGGCUAGAGUUUGGCAGAGGGGGGUAGAAUUCACGUGUAGCAGUGAAAUGCGUAGAUAUGUGGAGGAACACCGAUGGCGAAGGCAGCCCCCUGGGUCAAAACUGACGCUCAUGCACGAAAGCGUGGGGAGCAAACAGGAUUAGAUACCCUGGUAGUCCACGCCCUAAACGAUGUCUACUAGUUGUCGGGUCUUAAUUGACUUGGUAACGCA
rnacentral:rRNA from 1 species